rnacentral:rRNA from 1 species
CCUACGGGGGGCAGCAGUGGGGAAUAUUGGACAAUGGGCGAAAGCCUGAUCCAGCCAUGCCGCGUGUGUGAAGAAGGCCUUCGGGUUGUAAAGCACUUUCAGUGGGGAAGAAAGCCUUGGGGCUAAUACCCUCGAGGAAGGACAUCACCCACAGAAGAAGCACCGGCUAACUCCGUGCCAGCAGCCGCGGUAAUACGGUGGGUGUGAGCGUUAAUCGGAAUUACUGGGCGUAAAGCGCGCGUAGGCGGUCUGAUAAGCCGGUUGUGAAAGCCCCGGGCUCAACCUGGGAACGGCAUCCGGAACUGUCAGGCUAGAGUGCAGGAGAGGAAGGUAGAAUUCCCGGUGUAGCGGUGAAAUGCGUAGAGAUCGGGAGGAAUACCAGUGGCGAAGGCGGCCUUCUGGACUGACACUGACGCUGAGGUGCGAAAGCGUGGGUAGCAAACAGGAUUAGAUACCCGGGUAGUC